AACCUUAUGGACCUGCGGGCGUAUACCUGCGGAGGGAUCAUUACACAAAUAACAUAUGAAGGCUGUACGCGGCUGUGCCCUUUGGGUGCAGCGUCUGCUAAGGCUGGAUUAUUUAUUUUUCACCCUUGUCUUUUGCGCACUUGUUGUUUCCUGGGCGGGUUCGCCCGCCACCAGGACCACAUGAUAAACCUUUUUUAUGCAGUUGCAAUCAGCGUCAGUACAACAAAAUGUAAAUCAUUU
rnacentral:misc_RNA from 1 species